rnacentral:rRNA from 1 species
GGGUUGUGAGGUUAAGCGACUAAGCGUACACGGUGGAUGCCUAGGCAGUCAGAGGCGAUGAAGGGCGUGCUAAUCUGCGAUAAGCGUCGGUAAGCUGAUAUGAAGCGUUAUACCCGACGAUACCCGAAUGGGGAAACCCAGUGUGUUUCGACACACUAUCAUGACAUGAAUACAUAGUGUCAUGAGGCGAACCGGGGGAACUGAAACAUCUCAGUACCCCGAGGAAAAGAAAUCAACCGAGAUUCCCCCAGUAGCGGCGAGCGAACGGGGAAGAGCCCAGAACCUGAAUCAGUUUGUGUGUUAGUGGAAGCGUCUGGAAAGUCGCACAGUAAAGGGUGAUAGUCCCGUACACAAAAAUGCACAGAUUGUGAGUUCGAUGAGUAGGGCGGGACACGUGACAUCCUGUCUGAAUAUGGGGGGACCAUCCUCCAAGGCUAAAUACUCCUGACUGACCGAUAGUGAACCAGUACCGUGAGGGAAAGGCGAAAAGAACCCCGGCGAGGGGAGUGAAAUAGAACCUGAAACCGUGUACGUACAAGCAGUGGGAGCCUACUAGUUAGGUGACUGCGUACCUUUUGUAUAAUGGGUCAGCGACUUAUAUUCUGUAGCAAGGUUAACCGUAUAGGGGAGCCGCAGGGAAACCGAGUCUUAACUGGGCGUUAAGUUGCAGGGUAUAGACCCGAAACCCGGUGAUCUAGCCAUGGGCAGGUUGAAGGUUGGGUAACACUAACUGGAGGACCGAACCGACUAAUGUUGAAAAAUUAGCGGAUGACUUGUGGCUGGGGGUGAAAGGCCAAUCAAACCGGGAGAUAGCUGGUUCUCCCCGAAAGCUAUUUAGGUAGCGCCUCGUGAAUUCAUCUUCGGGGGUAGAGCACUGUUUCGGCUAGGGGGUCAUCCCGACUUACCAACCCGAUGCAAACUACGAAUACCGAAGAAUGUUAUCACGGGAGACACACGGCGGGUGCUAACGUUCGUCGUGAAGAGGGAAACAACCCAGACCGCCAGCUAAGGUCCCAAAGUCAUGGUUAAGUGGGAAACGAUGUGGGAAGGCAUAGACAGCCAGGAUGUUGGCUUAGAAGCAGCCAUCAUUUAAAGAAAGCGUAAUAGCUCACUGGUCGAGUCGGCCUGCGCGGAAGAUGUAACGGGGCUAAACCAUGCACCGAAGCUGCGGCAGCGACACUUAGGUGUUGUUGGGUAGGGGAGCGUUCUGUAAGCCUGCGAAGGUGGCCUGUGAGGGCUGCUGGAGGUAUCAGAAGUGCGAAUGCUGACAUAAGUAACGAUAAUGCGGGUGAAAAACCCGCACGCCGGAAGACCAAGGGUUCCUGUCCAACGUUAAUCGGGGCAGGGUGAGUCGACCCCUAAGGCGAGGCUGAAAAGCGUAGUCGAUGGGAAACAGGUUAAUAUUCCUGUACUCGGUGUUACUGCGAAGGGGGGACGGAGAAAGCUAGGUUAUCCGGGCGACGGUUGUCCCGGUUUAAGCGUGAAGGUGGAUGACUUUGGUAAAUCCGGGUCAUCAUUAACACUGAGGCGUGAUGACGAGUCACUACGGUGAUGAAGUAACCGAUGCUACGCUUCCAGGAAAAGCCUCUAAGCUCCAGGUAACAUCAAAUCGUACCCCAAACCGACACAGGUGGUCAGGUAGAGAAUACUCAGGCGCUUGAGAGAACUCGGGUGAAGGAACUAGGCAAAAUGGUGCCGUAACUUCGGGAGAAGGCACGCUGAUGGUAGGUGAAGUGACUUGCUCAUGGAGCUGAAAUCAGUCGAAGAUACCAGCUGGCUGCAACUGUUUAAUAAAAACACAGCACUGUGCAAACACGAAAGUGGACGUAUACGGUGUGACGCCUGCCCGGUGCCGGAAGGUUAAUUGAUGGGGUCAGCCGCAAGGCGAAGCUCUUGAUCGAAGCCCCGGUAAACGGCGGCCGUAACUAUAACGGUCCUAAGGUAGCGAAAUUCCUUGUCGGGUAAGUUCCGACCUGCACGAAUGGCGUAAUGAUGGCCAGGCUGUCUCCACCCGAGACUCAGUGAAAUUGAACUCGCUGUGAAGAUGCAGUGUACCCGCGGCAAGACGGAAAGACCCCGUGAACCUUUACUAUAGCUUGACACUGAACCUUGAGCCUUGAUGUGUAGGAUAGGUGGGAGGCUUUGAAGCGUGGACGCCAGUCUGCGUGGAGCCAACCUUGAAAUACCACCCUUUAAUGUUUGAUGUUCUAACGUGGACCCGUAAUCCGGGUUGCGGACAGUGUCUGGUGGGUAGUUUGACUGGGGCGGUCUCCUCCCAAAGCGUAACGGAGGAGCACGAAGGUUAGCUAAUCCUGGUCGGACAUCAGGAGGUUAGUGCAAAGGCAUAAGCUAGCUUGACUGCGAGAGUGACAGCUCGAGCAGGUGCGAAAGCAGGUCUUAGUGAUCCGGUGGUUCUGAAUGGAAGGGCCAUCGCUCAACGGAUAAAAGGUACUCCGGGGAUAACAGGCUGAUACCGCCCAAGAGUUCAUAUCGACGGCGGUGUUUGGCACCUCGAUGUCGGCUCAUCACAUCCUGGGGCUGAAGUAGGUCCCAAGGGUAUGGCUGUUCGCCAUUUAAAGUGGUACGCGAGCUGGGUUUAGAACGUCGUGAGACAGUUCGGUCCCUAUCUGCCGUGGGCGUUGGAAGAUUGAGAGGGGUUGCUCCUAGUACGAGAGGACCGGAGUGAACGCACCACUGGUGUACGGGUUGUGAUGCCAAUUGCAUUGCCCGGUAGCUAAGUGCGGAAGAGAUAACCGCUGAAAGCAUCUAAGCGGGAAACUUGCCUCGAGAUGAGUCUUCCCUGGGCACUUGAUGCCCCUGAAGGGCCGUUGAAGACGACGACGUAGAUAGGCUGGGUGUGUAAGCGUAGCGAUACGUUGAGCUAACCAGUACUAAUGACCCGAGAGGCUUAACCUUACAACACCGAAGGUGUUU